rnacentral:ncRNA from 1 species
AUUUGGUUCAUGUGCUUGGCUGAUAAGCCAAUGUGCGAAGCUACCAUCUGAGGGAUUAUUACUGAACGCCUCUAAGUCAGAAUCCCGCCUGGAAAGCGACGAUGCAUUCGUGCCUCGGCCUCGAGAGGCGUAGCUAGACGGCCGCGUGGCCGUGGAAAGAGCCCGAUUCCGACCCGAGAGGCCGCGGCAAGAGGCGGCCUCGAAGUCGGUGGAUCCUCCUGCUCGAAAGGCGGGGUGCUAAACCAUUCGCAGACGACCUAGUUGAAGAUCGGGGUGUCGUGAUCACUAGAGCAGUACAUCUCACUGCGAUUUGUUGAGAGUAAGCCUCAAGAUCUGUCGGUUUGU